rnacentral:rRNA from 1 species
AGUGAACGCUGGCGGUAGGCCUAACACAUGCAAGUCGAACGGCAGCACAGUAAGAUCUUGCUCUUACGGGUGGCGAGUGGCGGACGGGUGAGGAAUACAUCGGAAUCUACUUUUUCGUGGGGGAUAACGUAGGGAAACUGACGCUAAUACCGCAUACGACCUACGGGUGAAAGCAGGGGAGCUUCGGACCUUGCGCGAUUGAUUGAGCCGAUGUCGGAUUAGCUAGUUGGCGGGGUAAAGGCCCACCAAGGCGACGAUCCGUAGCUGGUCUGAGAGGAUGAUCAGCCACACUGGAACUGAGACACGGUCCAGACUCCUACGGGAGGCAGCAGUGGGGAAUAUUGGACAAUGGGCGCAAGCCUGAUCCAGCCAUACCGCGUGGGUGAAGAAGGCCUUCGGGUUGUAAAGCCCUUUUGUUGGGAAAGAAAAGCAGCAGGUUAAUACCCCGCUGUUCUGACGGUACCCAAAGAAUAAGCACCGGCUAACUUCGUG